rnacentral:rRNA from 1 species
UGGGGAAUUGUUCACAAUGGGCGCAAGCCUGAUGACGCAACGCCGCGUGGGGGAUGAAGGUCUUCGGAUCGUAAACCCCUGUCGAAUGGGACGAAAGACUCGCGAGUGAAUACUUCGCGAGAGUGACGGUACCGUUAAAGGAAGCCACGGCUAACUCUGUGCCAGCAGCCGCGGUAAUACAGAGGUGGCAAGCGUUGUUCGGAAUUACUGGGCGUAAAGCGCAUGUAGGCGGUUAGAUAAGUCUGGUGUGAAAUCCCGAAGCUCAACUUCGGAAGUGCAUUGGAUACUGUCUGACUAGAGUUCAGGAGAGGAGGGUGGAAUUCCUGGUGUAGAGGUGAAAUUCGUAGAUAUCAGGAGGAACACCAGUGGCGAAGGCGGCCCUCUGGACUGACACUGACGCUGAGAUGCGAAAGCGUGGGUAGCAAACAGGAUUAGAUACCCAGGUAGUCCCUGAGCGGGCUGGCAAGGCGCAU